CCAGCAUCUUGUAGCUGGGAUCAUUCAGGUGCACACUCUGAUACGCAUUGGGGCGAGGACAGGGGCAGCUGAUGGCAGCAAGGCAGGAGGGCACAUCGGAUCAGACCUGCUCCCAGGAAGCUCACCCAGCACGGAACACAAACGGGAGGCCCAGCAGACAGGAGGAGGAGGUCCCGGGACAGAAGAGAGCCCUAGAGACCCCUGAAGAAGGCUAGAGAGGAGAGACGGGGAGGAAUGUAGAAGGCGCAUCAAGAAGAAUGCAAGAACAAACCACGCCCCCUUCCUCACUGAAGGUUCCUAAACCCGGUGUCAGACCUGAGCUGGACAGAAGGAAGAAACUUUAAAUUGGAUGUGAGAUUCAAGUUUGAGUUUAGUUUGUAGCUUUAACUAUCCCAAAACAGGACUGUUCUGACAUCUGAAAGUGAUCAAAGUCUUGAGAUCUGUCUGGCGAAAUCACCAAAGAGCAAGAAAGGAGGUGCAGAGAGAGCCGAUUUGAAGAACUACUUGGAGUUUCCUACGUGGCGACGACACUUCCCAAAUGCUGACGCUCUGCCCCUCUUCGAAGGCCUGCUUUUAUUUUUCCUGUCCAGGUCAUCUGUGCAAGUCAUUAAAGUUAAAGGUUCCGACUGUGCUAUUCUAGAAAAGACAAGAACAACAGACUCCUUAAGCAGGCUAGCCCAGGCAUGUUCUCAUGGCACGGUGGAGAGACACUACAGAGGAAGUGGAAUCAUGCAGGCUAUUCAACCUUCCAAGUGUGAGAUGUUGCUAACUACCAUCCCGUUGGCCAAACAAAUAGCCUUGGACGAUAGAGACAGUGGCUCCCUGUGGAGCAGAGGACAGAGAGCAGGUGUCGUCCUCCAGAGCAGAAGUCAGGCAGGUUUGCUUACUGCCCAUCAUGAAAUAUUCAAAUUCCCCGAG
rnacentral:lncRNA from 1 species